rnacentral:rRNA from 1 species
GAUGAACGCUGACGGCGUGCCUAAUACAUGCAAGUCGAGCGGACAGACGAGGAGCUUGCUCCUCUGACGUUAGCGGCGGACGGGUGAGUAACACGUGGAUAACCUACCUAUAAGACUGGGAUAACUUCGGGAAACCGGAGCUAAUACCGGAUAAUAUAUUGAACCGCAUGGUUCAAUAGUGAAAGACGGUUUUGCUGUCACUUAUAGAUGGAUCCGCGCCGCAUUAGCUAGUUGGUAAGGUAACGGCUUACCAAGGCGACGAUGCGUAGCCGACCUGAGAGGGUGAUCGGCCACACUGGAACUGAGACACGGUCCAGACUCCUACGGGAGGCAGCAGUAGGGAAUCUUCCGCAAUGGGCGAAAGCCUGACGGAGCAACGCCGCGUGAGUGAUGAAGGUCUUCGGAUCGUAAAACUCUGUUAUUAGGGAAGAACAAAUGUGUAAGUAACUAUGCACGUCUUGACGGUACCUAAUCAGAAAGCCACGGCUAACUACGUG